rnacentral:rRNA from 1 species
AGCGAACGCUGGCGGCAGGCCUAACACAUGCAAGUCGAACGACGUCUUCGACCUUAGUGGCGGACGGGUUAGUAACACGUGGUAACGUGCCUUUAGGUUCGGAAUAACUCAGGGAAACUUGUGAGAAUACCGAAUGUGCCCUUAGGGGGAAAGAUUUAGCGACUUUAGAGAGGCGCGCGUCUGAUACGCUAGUUGGGGAGGUAAAGGCUCACCAAGGCGACGAGAAGUAGCUGGUCUGCGAGGAUGAGCAGCCACAUUGGGACUGGGAGGCGGGCCAAGCUCUUAUGAGAGGCAGCAGUGGGGAAUCUUGCGCAAUUGGCGAAAGCCUGACGUAGCCAUGCCGCGUGAAUAAUGAAGGUCUUAGGAAUUUAAACUUCUUUCACCGGGGACGAUAAUGACGGUACCCGGAGAAGAAGCCCCGGCUAACUUCGUGCCAGCAGCCGCGGUAACAC